AAACAAAAUAAAAGGCCUUGUAUAUAUUAAUUUACUUUCCUUUGAUGAACAACUAGUGGAGCUCCGCUCAUGCUUAUCUCCUAGCUAGUUGACUCGGCUGCUGCUGCUUCUUCUUCUUCUUCUUCAAUUGUAUAUAUUUAAACAAAUUAAGUAGCUUCAGAAGGGAAAACCCACAGGCCAUAGCCAGCAUAGAAAGAAACAAACAACUCCUACUCCUACCAAGUUUGUCUUCCCUAGCUCACUGUGCGGCUGAUGAGGACUGAAAGAGCUGUUGCUGUUGCUUUUGUUGACAGAAGAUAGAGAGCACAAGUGAACAUCCGCAGGAAGGCUUGCGUUUGAGCACUGUUGUGCUCUCUCUUCUUCUGUUAACAGAAAUAUACAUGGCUUUGAAGCCUGACUCUUUGAUCUGUUUUCGUCACUCGAUUCAAGGUUUGGUGGAUCUAUGGUACUACUGAGGCCUGCAAUUCAGACAGGAAAGUCGGUACAGCCUUGGUGAAAUUUAUCAGGAUUCAGGGCUCUUACUUAAAUGGGUAUGAAAUGGAUACUUUCUUCAUUAUCUUCCUCUCAGAGCGUUUGGGAUAUAAAAGCAAAAGAAGUUGAAUUUGUCCCAAUACCCCAUGAUAGAACCAGAAUAGGAUCCAAUUCCUGAACGGUUUUUCAAAGACUUGGACCCAUAACUUAUCUUGGUAAUUAAUGGACUACUGGACCGAUGAAGUCCAUAAACCUUGGCUUAUCCAUUGGCACCCCUAAAAUUCCAACGGCAAUCAUAUUUGUUACACCGGAAAAUUAUGUAUUAACCGUGGCUAGCUAAUUGGAACACAGUUGUCCCAUUUGUGCAGUCUA